UUUAUUAAAGAAAUGGCUUUAAUAUUUAAGCAUUCAUGUAAUAGUCUUGUUUUGUUUUGCACAGCUAGAGAAUUGAAGAGGAAAGCCCUGUCUGCUCAUUCUUAAAUACAUUUGACCUUCAGGUUCUUUAUCUGUAAAAGAGACUGAGAAUACCAACUUCACCGGGGUGCCGUGAGGAUUAAUUGGCUCUUACAGGUUUUCUUUAUUAAGGCUAAAUCAUAACAUCAAAGAAAAGAAAAGGAAGGAUCAAAAUUCUACACAUCAGGAAUAACAACUAACAGAUCUUCUAGGGAGCAUUCGAGAAUCAAAGAGAGAAAUGAAAGAAGAUACCAAGGAUUCAAACUCUGACUGGACAUCAGAGUUGAGGAUGAGAGUUUGGUGAAAAGAUAAAAAUCAUUCAAGUGGGAACCCAAGCAACCUAUUAUAAAAGGAGCAAUCAAGCCACUGCAUAAUAAACCAUAAACUAUACCAAAAACAUGAAUUGAAAUGAGGAUUGUCAUCUCAGGAACUGUCGCAAUCAAAAGAUUUAGAAGUUUUCACCAUGAAGAUACUGGGUAAUUAGUUUUAUUGUCUAUAAGUUUGAUUAUGCUUAUUUAUAGGAAUCUCAGCAUCAUUCCCUCAUUAAACAUUAAUUGAGCACCUACUGUGUUCCUAGGCUUGUCUGCAGGUGGGUAUGUGGUGGUGUUAUGCAAAAUGUAAAAGGCAUACAUAUUACUA